AUGCACACACGCUCAUGUGCUCACAGACAAGCACACACACAUGUGGACGCAGACGCUCACACACGUGCUCACACCCACAUGCGCUCACACCCACACGCAGACCCUGCCCCUGCAGGCCUCGUGACAGCCGAGCCUCUGCCGCCCUCUGGUGGCCUGUCUGGUCCUUGCAAACACAGGUCCCCGAGACGCCCGGCAGCAGCUCCCAGAGCUGGACCCCAGGCUGGGAGUGAGCUGGGCCCCUGGGCCCUGCCGAUCUCAGGGAUGUCUGCGGGCUGGGCCGAGCCCCUCUGGGAUCCUGGGCGGCCCGCAGGCCACUCUAAGCAAGCAGUGCUGGGUCAGGUGCGGAAUGCCGAGCACCUGGCCUUGGGCCUGGUGUGGCUCUGGGUGCACCACGUCCCCAUCCUGUUCGGCCUGGUCUGGGGUGAGACAGCACCGUUGGAACAGCUGAGGUGCUUCUGUGGCGACCCGGCUGCUUGUGAUGAUGUGACCGGCCGGCACCCACUCACAUCCACAGGCCCCCCCAGCCCCAGUGCUGGCCUUCCAGCCCCAAGGCCCUCAAGCGGCCGGCUGGACCUCCGGCCACCUCGGAGGUUCUCCUGGGUCCCUCACCCCGAGAUCACCCCUUCUAGCCUAGCCCACCUGUGCCCAAGACCAGCCACAGACCUCGGGGCCCCACUAACGACCCAGGGUCGACCCUAUGCCUGUGUGUGUAGAAAAGGGCCACGUGGGAGGCACAUCCCAGGGGCCUGGAUGCAGUGGCCCACCCAGCAGACGACAGGGGAGGGGCUUGUGGAGACAGACACGGGAAGUUCCUUUGUUGCUGGUUAUAAUUUUUAAUUUUUCUUACAAAAAUUUAGAUGUUUACCAAUACUGUCUUAGUUUGGUUUUGUUAUUGAUGUUUUUUAUCAGUGUUUCUCUGGUUUUUAAGUCACAAACAGCAGGCACUCAACAGCGGUCCUCCACUGCUGCCAAAGGCCAGUCCCAGAGGCGCUACUCGAGGGCCACAGUGCCCAGGGAGGGGCUCCCGGCGCUGCGGGCAGCAGGCAGGGCACGCACAGCCAGCCCCUGCUCGCUGCCUCCAGGGUCUCUGGGACUGUCCCCCGGCACCACCCCCGCUCAGGGCCCAGGAAAGCCCCUACAGCCUUGGGGCCAGACUCCCUGCUGAGCCCCAGAGCAACGCCGGGCACCCUGGCCUGGGUCUCCCAGGCGCACGCCGCACACAGCACCAUGUCAGGAAGCUAACUCGCCUGGGAGUUAGGAGCAGGGAGCCAGGGCUGGAGGGAGGGUGCCGCCCACCCUGCCGCCAGAGGGCUCCCAGCUCCGCAGCAGGCUCUGCACGGGCGCCCAGAGGCCCCUUCCUGUGGUCUCUUCAGAGGUCAGACCCUAAGAGCAAACGGCCAGGCCCAGGCCCUGUGGGCGGAAAAGGGACGCCUGAGCAAGCCUGAUGAUGGUCGCUGAGGGAAGGUGGGUCUUGGGGGGCCCUGCGCUGGGGUGUUGGAAGGUUUGGAGGAUCAGCCUGCUCUCGCCCUGUGACCAGGUUCCGAUGGCCCAGGCCCCUACCCUCCCCCGACCUGGGCUUCCCUCCGCGAACUCGGGUGGCCCUGCAGGAAGCGUGCAGGGACAGCAGGGCAGGCAGGCAGGGGUGCGGGGAGGAGGCCCCACCCUGACGCAGAACCCGGAGGGGACGUACCAGGCAUGCAAGCUAGACCCAGGAGUCGACAGGCUGAGGCCUGGCGUCCCCCACAGCGUCCACCAGCCUGACCGCAGGCCUGCUGGGCCCGGGCGGAGGAGCCUUCCUGCUGGGGUCGGGCUGCAGCGGGCAGGCGGGCGUUAGAGGCAGAACACAGCAGGUUAGUGUGAGCAAGCGGGUGGGAGCUGGGCAGGUCAGCAGGGCAGGGGUGUGUGCCAGAGGAGGGCUGAGCACCAGCGGGGCUGGGGGACACAGGAGCGGUGCAGAGCAGGCUGCAGGGCUGCUGUGGGGGCGGGACCGAGCAGGGAGGGUGCGGAUGCAGCCUGGAACCGGGCCGCCCUCCUGGCGUGUGCGACGGUUCCCCAGGCAGGAGAGCCACAGCCCUGGCCCCCGGACAUGCCACCUCUCCAGACACCUGCCCAAGGUGACUCACUUUCAACGGCUCCUUCUCAGAGGCCUCCCCCGCGGGGUCACUGCCUCGAGCCCUGCGCUCCCGCCUGUCCAUGGUGGAGUAGCCGUCUGCUGGGCAGAGGCAGAGAGGACCCUGAGGCAGGCACCGAGGUGUGACUGUCCCUCAGCGCCAAGCCUGUGUCUGGGGAGGGCAUCCGCCUGGACUACGCCAAGCCGGGUCUUCUCACCUGUCCCCACUCCCCCUGCUGGCCCCCCGGCGCCCAGCUCAGAGCCCUCCAGCUGCCCCUCAAGUGGCAGACCAAACAGUUUGGCUGGACAGUGACGCCUCCCUGGCUGCCCCGCCCCUCGCUCCCUGAGCACCCCUAAACCAAAUCACUUUUCUAACCACACCUCCUUGGAAGGCCCUCCCCACACAGGGAGCAAGCAGCCUGCACCUGCCCGCACCUGGACCGAGUGCCUCCAUGGGAAUCAUGUCCUGGCCGCCUGGCUUCUCACCGUCUGCAAGGCAUGAGCGGGUGGGUGGCUGGCUGCAGGUGGUGUCGGGGGCCCAGGCCUGGCCUCAGCCCCUCGGGGUACCCUGUCACCAACAUCUGCUUCCUGGCAAAGCUGCCCCCAACUGGGUGCCAAGAUGAACGCCCUGGGGGUCGGGGGUGCCAGAGGAGUGGGGGCCACCCUCCCGGAGGAAGGCCCACCUCCCUGCAGCCCUCGGCCGGGAGGAGGGGCACAGCUGGACCUCGGGAUGGGCUCCGGCCCCAUACUCACCCAGGCUCUUUUCCACCAGCGGCAGCGUGCUGUCGUCCAAGCCUCCCGGACUCGGGGCUGCCUUGGGGCCUCUGGCAUUAGCAGCGG
ensembl:lincRNA